rnacentral:rRNA from 1 species
AACGAACGCUGGCGGCAGGCCUAACACAUGCAAGUCGAACGCCGUAGCAAUACGGAGUGGCAGACGGGUGAGUAACGCGUGGGAACCUACCUUACGGUCGGGAAUAGCUCAGGGAAACUUGGGGUAAUACCGGAUAAGCCCUUACGGGGAAAGAUUUAUCGCCGUUAGAUGGGCCCGCGUAGGAUUAGCUAGUUGGUGAGGUAAUGGCUCACCAAGGCGACGAUCCUUAGCUGGUCUGAGAGGAUGAUCAGCCACACUGGGACUGAGACACGGCCCAGACUCCUACGGGAGGCAGCAGUGGGGAAUAUUGGACAAUGGGCGCAAGCCUGAUCCAGCCAUGCCGCGUGAGUGACGAAGGCCUUAGGGUUGUAAAGCUCUUUUGGCGGGGAAGAUAAUGACGGUACCCGCAGAAUAAGCUCCGGCUAACUUCGUGCCAGCAGCCGCGGUAAGGUGACGCUCU